GUUCACUCGGAAAUGCAUUAUUAUCUUCGAUCUUUCUUUUCGAAUAUCUCGUCUUUCGAUUCUUCUUUUUGUCUGCAAACGCCAAGAAUUUCCGCAGACGCGUAGGGGUAGAAGUAGAACUGCCGCUGGUCGACGGCGAAGCUUCUGGAUCUCGUUUCAACUGGCGGUUGAAUUGGCAAAUCGUCAAGAAAAAGUGAAGCAGAAGAGCGAGUAAACAUACGCCGGCACAAAUGGAGAACAGACCGAUGAAACUCUGUAACUGAAGCUGUUCUAAAUCAGAUUCUCCAGAACUGCAAGACUUUCUUGAGAACCACUUAUCGUGAAGCUUUUGAAGGCGGCCGCUCUCUGAUAGAGUUAGUAUGGCGGUCGAUAAGUCGACUGCUAAUGGAGAGUCUCGUGGAAAUGCCUAUCAAAAAUGCAGAAAAAUAUGAUCAAGUACUCACCAGAGGAUCGUGACAAGUUGCGUCCUGGGAUGUCCGCGGAAUUCAUUGUUUUUUCGAUGUUCCAAAAUCCACACGACUAAUCCAAUGAGGAGGAAAAAGGCUGCUGUGGCAAUCCACAUCAUUGGUGUGAAUGGGCGAAGGAAUGCCAAAGGACUUGAAUUCAACUUCUUGACAAGGACCAUAACGACCAACCCCGAGUCGAUAUAAGGCUGCGUAAAGUCGACAACCUUUGUCCGACUAGUCACAAUAGCAAAGUCACCAACAGCAGCAUCAAAUUCCUACAAAGCCAUUUGGAACUGAUCAUUUGGAGCUGUUUGAAUGAAGUAUGGAUACUGCGAAGUCGCAAGUGCUGGGUCCAAGGCUGUGUAUGAUAAUAAUGGGACAUGGAGUUCAUUUGAAAGAUGUGAGAGUAUCUGUGCCAUUGUAGCAUCUUGAGGACCGAUGAUGGCAACUGUGCCAGACGUCAUGUACUUCAUUGCUGUGAUGAACAAAGAAAGAAAAUUACUCAGUUCGCCAAAAUGUUCAUUUUGGUUCUCAUACUUUCAACGUGUAUUCAUUUUAGUUCUUGUAGUUUCAACCGUUUAUUUUGAUCCCAUGACUCUUCAAAAGUGAUUAUGCAACAAAAGUCUUAGAAAUCUAUCGAGACGAUCAAAAGUUUUCUUGA